AUGCUAGGUGUUGUUGACUGGAACAUGAAAUUUCUUUAUGUUCUACCUGGCUGGGAGGGAUCUGCAUCUGACUCCAGAGUGUUGCGUGAUGCAAUGAUAAACGAUUGUCAAUAUGCAUUUAUUAUACUUCAUGGAAAAUACUACUUAGUGGAUGCUGGCUAUACUCAUGGACCUGGCUUUCUGGCUCCAUUCAGAUCGACUAGGUACCACUUGAAAGAGUGGGUCUCAACUCAACAACAACCCCAAACUGACAAAGAGUUGUAUAACUUGCGUCAUUCUCGGGCUAGAAAUGUUGUGGAGAGAACUUUUGGCCUAUGGAAGAAAAAAAUGGAUCCGGAUUAUUAA
rnacentral:rRNA from 1 species